CAAACAGGACCAGGGAUAACUGGUACACGCUAACCUUCAAUUCAAAGAAAGCUAAGAUGAUCACACAUAAAAAUUAAAGCCAAAUUUGCACUCUUCUGCUCUGCCAGAAGUCUUCCUCACCAGCUGCAUCCCUCUCUUUCUGUAUACACAAUAGUACCUCUGAACAGUAGUGAACAUGAAUUGUCUUCGUGGCACAGCUAAGCCUGAAUGAUGUUAACAUUUCACAGAGACACAACUACAAACAUUCUCCAAAACUAUCUGCAACAGCUCAUUACCCAAAACUACCUGCAAGGACUCAUAAAGCAAAAUAAGUCAGACUCACCAACUUAAAUGGAUUAAUAUUGUUUCAUUUCCAAUGUCCCUGUCGAUGCUCUGUGAGAUUCUAUGUUUCUUGGAUUCUUUAACAUAAGUUAGCACAUAUGACUUCUGCUGGAAUGAAAAUGAUAUGCCUGGAAUUUCUUUUGUUUGCCUCUUCCAGGUAAACCAACAUGCAGCUAAAGUAGUUAAGAGGCCUUGCGAUCUCAACUUACAACUCUGGGUUUGGGGAAAAGAAUGAAAUGUGUUGGGAAGCCAAUGUAAGUCUGAGGAUGUUCCUGGUAUUUACAGAAAGACUACAGAAAAAGACAUCAGAAUAAUGGCAAGGAUUUAUUUAACACCCUCAUUACUAAGUGGCCCUGAGAGCAAGCUUCACUGUCAAUUAAGAAUUUUCAAGAAAACAUCAAGAAAUAAAACGUCAUACUAGAUAUAAAAUGCCAAAACUGUGUAACUUGUGUGGUCAAUACAGUAUGUCAAACACAGAAAUAAAUUCAAGACAGAAAAGAACAGGAGAGAAUUUGGGGUUUGGCUAUUACGGAGAGAUUGUUGGAGAGCCAUUUCGAUGCGGUGCUGAAAACAGCUCUCUGAUGGCACUGUGAGGAAAGGAUAGCAGAGGCAGGAAAACUUCAAUCCUCAGUAUUCCAGAAGAAGAACAAAGAGGGCUUCGACUAUAGCAUCUGGCAGUUAUGGAAAAGUAAAGGUUUACUGGACCAAUUCUUCACGUUCUUACAUAUCACCUUAAUGUUACAUGAAAAGGAGCAAAAGAAACAAGGGGUGUUGACUAUCAAAUAAAGCUGAAGAGCCAAGAAACAUUUAUAA